GACGAACGCUGGCGGCGUGCUUAACACAUGCAAGUCGAACGGUAAGGCCCUUCGGGGUACACGAGUGGCGAACGGGUGAGUAACACGUGGGUGAUCUGCCCUGCACUUCGGGAUAAGACUGGGAAACUGGGUCUAAUACCGGAUAGGACUCCGGACUGCAUGGUCUGGGGUGGAAAGCUUUUGUGGUGUGGGAUGGGCCCGCGGCCUAUCAGCUUGUUGGGGGGGUGAUGGCCGACCAAGGCGACGACGGGUAGCCGGCCUGAGAGGGUGACCGGCCACACUGGGACUGAGAUACGGCCCAGACUCCUACGGGAGGCAGCAGUGGGGAAUAUUGCACAAUGGGCGCAAGCCUGAUGCAGCGACGCCGCGUGAGGGAUGACGGCCUUCGGGUUGUAAACCUCUUUCAGCAUCGACGAAGCGAAAGUGACGGUAGGUGCAGAAGAAGGACCGGCCAACUACGUGCCAGCCGCCGCAGUAA
rnacentral:rRNA from 1 species